rnacentral:rRNA from 1 species
AACGAACGCUGGCGGCAUGCCUAACACAUGCAAGUCGAACGAGACCUUCGGGUCUAGUGGCGCACGGGUGCGUAACGCGUGGGAACCUGCCCUUAGGUUCGGAAUAACUCCCCGAAAGGGGUGCUAAUACCGGAUAAUGUCUUCGGACCAAAGAUUUAUCGCCUUUGGAUGGGCCCGCGUUGGAUUAGCUAGUUGGUAGGGUAAAAGCCUACCAAGGCGACGAUCCAUAGCUGGGCUGAGAGAAUGAUCAGCCACACUGGGACUGAGACACGGCCCAGACUCCUCCGGGAGGCACCAGUGGCUAAUAGUGGACAAUGGGGGAAAGCAUGAUGGAGUUAUGACCCGUGAGCGCUGAAGGCCUUAGGGUAGAAAAGCUAUUUUACCCGUGCUGAUCAUGACAGUACCGGGACAAUAAGCCCCGGCUAACUCCGUG